GAAUUUCUGGGGUGUGCGGGUCGUUUUCAGGCGUUGGCCAACGUUCAGUAUGACCUGUCAAUCCGUGGAGAGAUGGUGAGCAGGCCGGCCCAUGAGCAGGACGCCUAAAGUCCCUCCCGACGACAAGAUUAACCUUCAAGGUCAUCUGUCUUGGAACAAACCGGCACCCCGGAGAGUAU
rnacentral:other from 1 species